rnacentral:rRNA from 1 species
GAUGAACGCUGGCGGCGUGCCUAAUACAUGCAAGUCGAGCGAACAGACGAGGAGCUUACUCCUCUGACGUUAGCGGCGGACGGGUGAGUAACACGUGGAUAACCUACCUAUAAGACUGGGAUAACUUCGGGAAACCGGAGCUAAUACCGGAUAACAUGUUGAACCGCAUGGUUCAACAGUGAAAGACGGUCUUGCUGUCACUUAUAGAUGGAUCCGCGUCGCAUUAGCUAGUUGGUAAGGUAACGGCUUACCAAGGCAACGAUGCGUAGCCGACCUGAGAGGGGGAUCGGCCCAACUUGAAGCUGAAACAGGUCCAGACCCCCACGGGAAGGAGCCGUAGGGAAACUUCCGGAAAGGGCGAAAACCUUAACGAGGAACCCCGGCGGAGGUAAAAAGGGCUUCGGAUUCGAAAACCCUUUUAUUAGGGAAGAACAAAUGUGUAAGUAACUAUGCACGUCUUGACGGUACCUAAUCAGAAAGCCACGGCUAACUACGUG